GGAGAGGUGGCAGAGUGGUCGAUCGCACCGCACUCGAAAUGCGGAGUACGCGCAAGUGUACCGGGGGUUCGAAUCCCUCCCUCUCCGCCA
rnacentral:tRNA from 1 species